CUUUUUUUUUUUUUUUCCAUGAGUUUUUGCCACGCAUUCACCUCCCAGCUUCACUCUCUGGAUUUCGUUCUUCCUCUAAACCCGGGGUUGAGCUAACGGGAACUAGAUGAACCCGCAGGGGGAAAUCACUUGCUUACUGACUCAGGAGCAUCCCCGAGAGUGCGUUUUGGGGUCCCUUCUGCACGCUCCCUUUCCCACCGGGCAAGGCCCAUAGCGCAAGUGGAGGUCGCACAAAGGAGGGGGCGUAAAAACAGCUUUAAAACGACCAGUGAAUCUCUCAGCACAAAUUACAGCAAACAGAACGCCGGAGAAAAACAUCUGUCCCUCGUUCUCAGUAACUUCCCUGGAAAAAGAUCAAGAAGUGAAGUGCAAUAGGAAGACAGAGAAGCUAGUCUAACAGGAAGGCAUCGUAUUCUAGCAAAAGGAGGACCGGCCCUGUCUCUCGUCUGGAAUCUCAAGUCUAUCAUUAGUCUAUCUCAACUAACUAACUGUAUUUCUUUAGAACCUUUCCAUGCCUCAGAUUGUUUUAAUUUUUUUAAUGGGGAUAAUAAAAUCUGCUACAUUUACUUCACA